CAAGUCGAGUGCGCGUUUCUGUAGCAAUACAGGAAUGGCGCACGGCGCACGGGAUGCGUAACACGUGGGUAAUCUGCCCUCUGAUGGGGAAUAACCCGCCGAAAGGCGGGCUAAUUCCGCAUAACAUUCCUUGGACUCCGGUUCGAGGAUUCAAAGGCGUAAGUCGUCGGAGGUGGAGCCCGCGCACGAUUAGCUAGUUGGUAGGGUAACGGCCUACCAAGGCUUUGAUCGUUAGCUGGUCUGAGAGGAUGGCCAGCCACACUGGAACUGAGACACGGUCCAGACUCCUACGGGAGGCAGCAGUGGGGAAUCUUGCACAAUGGGCGAAAGCCUGAUGCAGCGACGCCGCGUGGGGGAUGAAGCUUCUCGGAGUGUAAACCCCUUUCGACCCGGACGAAUGCCCCGCAAGGGGAGUGACGGUACGGGUAUAAGAAGCCCCGGCUAACUACGUGCCAGCAGCCGCGGUAAGACGUAGGGGGCCAGCGUUGUUCGGAAUUACUGGGUGUAAAGGGUUCGUAGGCGGUGUAGCAAGUUGGGAGUGAAAUCUCUGGGCUCAACUCAGAGGCUGCUUCCAAACUGCUGUGCUGGAGUGUGGGAGAGGCGCGUGGAAUUGCAGGUGUAGCGGUGAAAUGCGUAGAUAUCUGCAGGAACACCCGUGGCGAAGGCGGCGCGCUGGACCACUACUGACGCUGAGGAACGAAAGCUAGGGGAGCAAACAGGAUUAGAUACCCUGGUAGUCCUAGCCCUAAACGAUCAGGACUUGGGGUGCCACCCGUUCGGGUGUCGUCCCGGAGCUAACGCGUUAAGUCCUGCACCUGGGGAGUACGGUCGCAAGACUGAAACUCAAAGGAAUUGACGGGGGCCC
rnacentral:rRNA from 1 species